rnacentral:misc_RNA from 1 species
AUUUAUGCAUGUAAAGUUAGUGGCAAAUCUAGAAAAUUGUCCUUAGGGAUCCUGGUAUGUGUGCACAGAUGCACUUCUACAUAAAAAGAUAAUACACCCUAUAUGUAAAUGCCAACAAGAAUAAACAAAUGAACAUCUACCGCAUUAUUUUUUUAUUAAAAAAGACGUUCUUUAUGCAAUUCUUGAUGUGAAUAUGUGAUUUUUUACCUGCAGUGUCAUUUAAGUUAGUUAUAACUCAAUCCAUCUAAACCAAGCAUAGCUUGGAGCUGGGGAAAAGCUUAAUUGAAUGUAUCAAUCUUCUAUACUUCUCAUUAGGGUUUUAUAGGGACAGUGUGGGUAAGUGCCUCAGUUCUUUGAUUCCUCAAUUUGAUAGUAAAGUCUACUAUUGGCUGGUUCAAAUGUUUUACUGUCAGUUAAAAAAGUUAGUUAUACUGCUGUUUUUGAAGAACAGUUCUUCUGAUUGUGAAACACAUCAUGUACAAUUUAUCCAAUAUAGAUUGGUUAAAGAGGACAACUCUUCUUGCUAUA